AACACUAUGGUAAUAUUGUAAUUAAGGACAGAGAUAAAUAAGUAAUUUUAUAUUUAUAAUAAUUUUAAUUUGGCCCAAUGAUAUCAACAAGGGGCUUAAUUGAAUCAACAAAUGCAACCUGGAGUGUUUAAUCAGAAUUUUCCAGGGGUAAAUGUUAUAGGGAAAUAAAAGGAGGGGUUAAAUGGGUAUAUGGGUAAGAAAAGGAAAGAAAAGAAAGAAAGAAAGAGAAAGGGACGAAGAAAAAGAUAGAGGACAGGGAGUGCGGCUGUCAUUAAUGAGGCGGUUUGAGGCGUGGUGGCACGACUGGUGAAGGAGUAGACACCGAUGAGCUCGAUGGAGGAGAUGGCAGCAGUUAGGUGGCGGAAAACGUCAAGGAAAGACAACAAAUUUUAGACACUGUUCAUGGCUUUUCGGCAACAACAACCACUGAUUUCGGUGGCGAUCAACUCAUUUGAGAAUGGGCUUUCAUAUGGGGGAACAAUAUUGACAAAGGUGGCUGGAGAGGAGAGUUUCGAUGAAGGAAAGAUUGUGAAGGCAGCUCGCUUUUUGGACACUUCUGGCCAUUUUCGGCAAGGUUAGGCUGAUCAAAGCUCACCAACGGACUCUCCUUGUCACAAGCUUUCUAAUGACACCGAUUUCAUACCCGAUCAGACUUUGUUAGAAAUCAACAGUUGAGAAUUGUCGGUGAGAUUUUGAGAUGAUCUGAAACUGGAUCAAAGAAAUAGAAGAUGAAUUCAUUCUCUACGAAUUAUUUCGAGUUUUAGGCACCUCGGAUUGUCGAUCGGACUCUUGGAGGCUUUGGGUAUUCCAAGAUGAAGAUCAAGAUAAAAUCAUGAAGUAAUAAAAAUCACGACUACAAAAAAGAGCAAAAAUAGUCCAGUAGAGGUUGCGACCACGACAAGGAUUUUUUGACAAUGAAAUUCGUGCUGACAGUACAUUUAAUGACGCUUUUAUAGUUGUUAGAGAAAUUUGAGCUAACUAAUUUUUGUAACUGCUGUAUGGAGGAAAAACACUAUAAAUACUCACUUGGAACAUUAAAUUGAAGGUUUUUAAGCUCUCAAAAGAUAAAAUACAAGUGGAAAACAUCUUCUUACAUCUUUGAGCAUAGAAUUCAUCAUCAAAUCUUCUUGUGUUUCAUUUGUCAGGUUGAAAUACUUUUGUUUGAGGGUUGUAAGUUCACUCUACUUUUUACUAUUGAGUUAUAUUUGUAAGAGUGAACUUGAUUUCUUUCUUCUCUAAAUUAUUCUCUAUUGUAAGGGUUUGAGUGUGAGCCAUUAAAUAUUUGGAUUUGAAGUUUUGGGUGUUAGUCAUAGAAAAGUACUUGGUUUGAGUGUGAGCAAUAAAACACUUGAAUUUGAAGGUUUGAGUGUUAGCCUUUGAAAAAUAUUUGGAUUUGAGUAUUAGCCAUAAAAAAACACUUAGGUUCGAGUGUUAGCCAUCACAACACUUGUAAGAAGUUUGAAUGUGAGCUUGAAAAUAUUUGAGUUUGAUCUUGCACCCGUAAAAAGAUCAUUGAUAGUGGAAAUCUCAACUGAAGCUUGAGGAGUGGAUGUAGGCAAGGAGUUGGUUGAACCACUAUAAAUCUUGUGUUUGAAUCUCUCUUUCUUACACUUUUAUAUUUUUUAUAUUUAUAUUUGCUAUAUGUUUUAAUUUAUUCUUGCAUUCUAUAUUGAGAAUUGUUCAAUUGCUUUGAUUAUUUGCUUAUGCAAAUAUUGGUUUUAAUACUCAAGCUUUUCAAAGUAAAAGUUUUUAAUUAAAAUUGAUUUUUGUAAACAACCAAUUCACCCCCUCUUAGUUGCCAUAAGGUAUUUUACUAUUGAUUCCAAUAAAUCAUAUUCAACUCUUGUAGUAUUUAAAAUAAAAAAAUUAUUGUAAACUUGCUCCCUAGGAUUUAAACUCAGGUCACUAUAGUGAUUGUAUAGUCUGCCACUAAAGUAGUGCUUAAUUCUGUUAAGUUAUAGCAACACACACACACACACACACACACACACACACACACACAUAUAUAUAUAUAUAUAUAUAUAUAUAUAUAUAUAAGCUGGAAUGCCUUUAUAGAGGAGACUACCCGAGGAAUCGAAAAUUACUAACGAUGUAUAGCGCAGCUUGUGCCAGGAUUACUGUCGAUUUUUCCCAUGUGGUGUUGAACUUUGCCCCCAUAUGCUAGCUGCUAGGCUGGACCACCUCGAAUGGCGUGAGCCGCAUGCGGGGACACCCGCACGUACGGUUUUUAGGGGGAUCUGGUCGAAAGACCGGCCGACGCCCACCCG